rnacentral:misc_RNA from 1 species
GAAAAUUUUGCCCCUGGAGCGUCUUCUAUUUUAGAGGUUGAACAGUUCAUUGAUGGUGCCAACAACCUUCAAACAUUUCUUGAGAGUGUUAACUGGUCCACUCAGGGAAAACAGUUAUCAAAGAAAGCUUCUUUAGCUGUUAAUUCACAUAUGAAUAAUUGGCUUGAUUCUUUGAAUGAACCUUUGGCUUAUCAUCCGGUACUUUCUUUGGGAUCCUUUGCUACAUGCGGGAGAAGGGAAACCAUGG